rnacentral:rRNA from 1 species
UACAGAGGUGGCAGGCGUUGUUCGGAAUUACUGGGCGUAAAGGGCGCGUAGGCGGUUCGUUAAGUCCUGUGUGAAAUCCCCCGGCUCAACUGGGGAACUGCACAGGAAACUAGCGGGCUUGAGUUCGGGAGAGGGAAGCGGAAUUCCGGGUGUAGCGGUGAAAUGCGUAGAUAUCCGGAGGAACACCGGUGGCGAAGGCGGCUUCCUGGACCGACACUGACGCUGAGGCGCGAAAGCUAGGGGAGCAAACGGG